GACGAACCGUGCGAACGUUGUUCGGAAUCACUGGGCUUAAAGGGCGCGUAGGCGGGCCCGCAAGUCAGGGGUGAAAUCCCACGGCUCAACCGUGGAAGUGCCUUUGAUACUGCGGAUCUCGAGGGAGGUAGGGGCGUGCGGAACUUCCGGUGGAGCGGUGAAAUGCGUAGAUAUCGGAAGGAACACCGGUGGCGAAAGCGGCGCGCUGGACCAUAACUGACGCUGAGGCGCGAAAGCUAGGGGAGCAAACAGG
rnacentral:rRNA from 1 species